rnacentral:rRNA from 1 species
CACGGGUGAGUAACACGUAUGCAAUCCACCUGUAACAGGGGGAGUAACCCGGAGAAAUCCGGACUAAUACCCCAUAAUAUGGGCGCUCCGCAUGGAGAGUCCAUUAAAGAGAGCAAUCUUGGUUACAGACGAGCAUGCGCUCCAUUAGCCAGUUGGCGGGGUAACGGCCCACCAAGGCGACGAUGGAUAGGGGUUCUGAGAGGAAGGUCCCCCACAUUGGAACUGAGACACGGUCCAA